ACAGCAGUCGCCGCGGUAAUACGGAGGGUGCAAGCGUUAAUCGGAAUUACUGGGCGUAAAGCGCACGCAGGCGGUCUGUCAAGUCAGAUGUGAAAUCCCCGGGCUUAACCUGGGAACUGCAUUUGAAACUGGCAGGCUAGAGUCUUGUAGAGGGGGGUAGAAUUCCAGGUGUAGCGGUGAAAUGCGUAGAGAUCUGGAGGAAUACCGGUGGCGAAGGCGGCCCCCUGGACAAAGACUGACGCUCAGGUGCGAAAGCGUGGGGAGCAAACAGGAUUAGAUACCCGUGUAGUCCCUGUCUCUUAUAC
rnacentral:rRNA from 1 species